rnacentral:misc_RNA from 1 species
UCCGAGUUGACCCCGGCAGUCUCCUGCGAGUCCCCGGCCCGGCUUCCGCCGGCCGCUGGCAACACAGGACAAGGGUUGCGCUCGUUGCGGGACUUAACCCAACAUCUCACGACACGAGCUGACGACAACCAUGCACCACCUGCACACGGCCCACUGAAGGACCCCGCGUCUCCGCGGGAUUACCGUGCAUGUCAAGCCUUGGUAAGGUUCUUCGCGUCGCAUCGAAUUAAGCCACAUGCUCCGCCGCUUGUGCGGGCCCCCGUCAAUUCCUUUGAGUUUUAGCCUUGCGGCCGUACUCCCCAGGCGGGGCGCUUAAUGCGUUAGCUACGGCACGGGACCCGUGGAAAGGACCCCACACCUAGCGCCCAACGUUUACGGCGUGGACUAC